GACGAACGCUGGCGGCGUGCUUAACACAUGCAAGUCGAACGCUGAAGCUUGGUGCUUGCACUGGGUGGAUGAGUGGCGAACGGGUGAGUAUCACGUGAGUAACCUGCCCCUGACUUCGGGAUAAGCCUGGGAAACUGGGUCUAAUACCGGAUAUGACCCAUCUUUCGCAUGUUGGGUGGUGGAAAGUUUUUUCGGUUGGGGAUGGGCUCGCGGCCUAUCAGUUUGUUGGGGGGUAAUGGCCUACCAAGACGACGACGGGUAGCCGGCCUGAGAGGGCGACCGGCCACACUGGGACUGAGACACGGCCCAGACUCCUACGGGA
rnacentral:rRNA from 1 species